AAACAUGAGAGUUUGAUCCUGGCUCAGGAUGAACGCUGGCGGCGUGCCUAACACAUGCAAGUCGAACGAAGCAAUUUAACGGAAGUUUUCGGAUGGAAGUUGAAUUGACUGAGUGGCGGACGGGUGAGUAACGCGUGGGUAACCUGCCUUGUACUGGGGGACAACAGUUAGAAAUGACUGCUAAUACCGCAUAAGCGCACAGUAUCGCAUGAUACAGUGUGAAAAACUCCGGUGGUACAAGAUGGACCCGCGUCUGAUUAGCUAGUUGGUAAGGUAACGGCUUACCAAGGCGACGAUCAGUAGCCGACCUGAGAGGGUGACCGGCCACAUU
rnacentral:ncRNA from 1 species